AACGAACGCUGGCGGCAUGCCUAACACAUGCAAGUCGAGCGAGCAGUUCGGUGCUAUCCGCGGACGGUGUUAUAACGCGUGGGAACGUUCCCUUUUCUGCGGAAUAGUUCUAGGAAACUGAUGGUAAUACCGCAUACGCCCUUUUGGGGGAAGAUUUAUUGGAGAAGGAUCGUCCCGCGUUGGAUUAGGUAGUUGGUUCGGUAAUGGCACACCAAGCCGUCGAUCCAUAGCUUGGUUGAGAGGAAGAUUAGCCACACUGGGACUGAGAACCGGCCCAGACUCCUACGGGAGGCAGCAGAGGGGAAUGUUAGACCAUGGGGGCAACCAUGAUAGAGCCAUGACGGGUGAGUGCUGAAGGCAUUAGGGUUGUAAAGCUCUAUCAGCUGGGAAGAUAAUGACGGUACCAGCAGAAGAAGCCCCGGCUAACUCCGUG
rnacentral:rRNA from 1 species